CCUACGGGGGGCUGCAGUGGGGAAUAUUGGACAAUGGGGGCAACCCUGAUCCAGCCAUGCCGCGUGUGUGAAGAAGGCCCUCGGGUUGUAAAGCACUUUCAGUGAGGAAGAACGCCUGGUGGUUAAUACCCAUCAGGAAAGACAUCACUCACAGAAGAAGCACCGGCUAACUCCGUGCCAGCAGCCGCGGUAAUACGGAGGGUGUGAGCGUUAAUCGGAAUUACUGGGCGUAAAGCGCGCGUAGGUGGCUUGAUAAGCCGGUUGUGAAAGCCCCGGGCUCAACCUGGGAACGGCAUCCGGAACUGUCAAGCUAGAGUGCAGGAGAGGAAGGUAGAAUUCCCGGUGUAGCGGUGAAAUGCGUAGAGAUCGGGAGGAAUACCAGUGGCGAAGGCGGCCUUCUGGACUGACACUGACACUGAGGUGCGAAAGCGUGGGUAGCAAACAGGAUUAGAUACCCUUGUAGUC
rnacentral:rRNA from 1 species